rnacentral:rRNA from 1 species
AUUGAACGCUGGCGGCAUGCUUUACACAUGCAAGUCGAACGGUAACAGGCCGCAGGGUGCUGACGAGUGGCGAACGGGUGAGUAAUGCAUCGGAACGUGCCCAGUCGUGGGGGAUAACGCAGCGAAAGCUGUGCUAAUACCGCAUACGAUCUAUGGAUGAAAGCGGGGGACCGUAAGGCCUCGCGCGAUUGGAGCGGCCGAUGUCAGAUUAGGUAGUUGGUGGGGUAAAGGCUCACCAAGCCAACGAUCUGUAGCUGGUCUGAGAGGACGACCAGCCACACUGGGACUGAGACACGGCCCAGACUCCUACGGGAGGCAGCAGUGGGGAAUUUUGGACAAUGGGCGCAAGCCUGAUCCAGCAAUGCCGCGUGCAGGAAGAAGGCCUUCGGGUUGUAAACUGCUUUUGUACGGAACGAAACGGUCUGGGUUAAUACCCUGGGCUAAUGACGGUACCGUAAGAAUAAGCACCGGCUAACUACGUGCCAGCCGCCGCCGUAAAAC